rnacentral:rRNA from 1 species
AGAGUUUGAUCCUGGCUCAGGAUGAACGCUGGCGGCGUGCUUAACACAUGCAAGUCGAACGAUGAUCCCAGCUUGCUGGGGGAUUAGUGGCGAACGGGUGAGUAACACGUGAGUAACCUGCCCUUAACUCUGGGAUAAGCCUGGGAAACUGGGUCUAAUACCGGAUAUGACUCCUCAUCGCAUGGUGGGGGGUGGAAAGCUUUAUUGUGGUUUUGGAUGGACUCGCGGCCUAUCAGCUUGUUGGUGAGGUAAUGGCUCACCAAGGCGACGACGGGUAGCCGGCCUGAGAGGGUGACCGGCCACACUGGGACUGAGACACGGCCCAGACUCCUACGGGAGGCAGCAGUGGGGAAUAUUGCACAAUGGGCGAAAGCCUGAUGCAGCGACGCCGCGUGAGGGAUGACGGCCUUCGGGUUGUAAACCUCUUUCAGUAGGGAAGAAGCGAAAGUGACGGUACCUGCAGAAGAAGCGCCGGCUAACUACGUGCCAGCAGCCGCGGUAAUACGUAGGGCGCAAGCGUUAUCCGGAAUUAUUGGGCGUAAAGAGCUCGUAGGCGGUUUGUCGCGUCUGCCGUGAAAGUCCGGGGCUCAACUCCGGAUCUGCGGUGGGUAUGGGCAGACUAGAGUGAUGUAGGGGAGACUGGAAUUCCUGGUGUAGCGGUGAAAUGCGCAGAUAUCAGGAGGAACACCGAUGGCGAAGGCAGGUCUCUGGGCAUUAACUGACGCUGAGGAGCGAAAGCAUGGGGAGCGAACAGGAUUAGAUACCCCCGUAGUCC